UACGAAGGGGGCUAGCGUUGCUCGGAAUGACUGGGCGUAAAGGGCGCGUAGGCGGACAGUUAAGUUGGGGGUGAAAGCCCGGGGCUCAACCUCGGAAUUGCCUUCAAUACUGGCUGUCUUGAGUGUGAGAGAGGUGUGUGGAACUCCGAGUGUAGAGGUGAAAUUCGUAGAUAUUCGGAAGAACACCAGUGGCGAAGGCGACACACUGGCUCACUACUGACGCUGAGGCGCGAAAGCGUGGGGAGCAAACAGG
rnacentral:rRNA from 1 species